GAUGAACGCUGGCGGCGUGCCUAAUACAUGCAAGUCGAGCGAACAGACGAGGAGCUUGCUCCUCUGACGUUAGCGGCGGACGGGUGAGUAACACGUGGAUAACCUACCUAUAAGACUGGGAUAACUUCGGGAAACCGGAGCUAAUAACGGAUAAUAUAUUGAACCGCAUGGAUCAAUAGUGAAAGACGGUUUUGCUGUCACUUAUAGAUGGAUCCGCGCCGCAUUAGCUAGUUGGUAAGGUAACGGCUUACCAAGGCAACGAUGCGUAGCCGACCUGAGAGGGUGAUCGGCCACACUGGAGCUGAGACACGGUCCAGACUCCUACGGGAGGCAGCAGUAGGGAAUCUUCCGCAAUGGGCGAAAGCCUGACGGAGCAACGCCGCGUGAGUGAUGAAGGUCUUCGGAUCGUAAAACUCUGUUAUUAGGGAAGAACAAAUGUGUAAGUAACUAUGCACGUCUUGACGGUACCUAAUCAGAAAGCCACGGCUAACUACGUG
rnacentral:rRNA from 1 species